UGGGUUUAUUGUCAGAAAGUAUUGAACAUAUCCACAUCCUUCACAAAAAUAAUAUCACUGUGGACAUGGUGACAUAUGGGACAAGAAGUGAAAGAAUGAUGUCUUCACAAAGGGAAUUUAUAUAGACAGGAUCAUUUUUUCCAGACUCAUAUAUAAAAUCAGCCUGGUCUUUAUGUGAUCAAUGACUUUAGUGGUGCAAACCAAAUUACUUACACAGCUUGUGCUGGUUGUCAUAGCUGGUCUUGAGAAAGAAAACAACAGAUCUUUAGUGACCAGAAUGUCUUCAGAAUUUGUUGCUUUUAGCUGGCAAGUGUAACUGCUGGCUUGGAUUGUAAAACUGGUUAAAAAGUAUUUUCCUAAGACACUUGUUUUCACUGCUUCUAAUUUAUCUACUGCAACACCUGAUCCAGUGGUGAGCAUGACGAAGAGUCUGUGAACUCCAAAAGCAAGAAAAUGACUUCAAAUUUUGCCAAUGACUGAAUGUAUGAGCUUGAAAUAACCUGCGUAAUUUUGGCUUCAACUGAUCCACAUUAGUGUUACCAUUGUAAAACUGUGGAAGUGCUGUGUGCUGAUGAAAAAAUACAACAACCAAAGAUUUGGCCUAAUACAGGUUGGAUCUUGUGAGAUUUCUAGAGAUUAAGGACAAUGCGAGUGCAUGCAGAAAGAAUCCUGAAAUCUCUUGCAGACUGGUAUUUCCUAUAACCUCAAAUAGCUGAAGUAGAUUAGAUAAACCAUAAAAAGAUGAGUGUUUCACUCAAGGGAUGUUAGGGAGAAUCUUAAUUACACUAUUUCCAAAGUGCUUUAAUGCUGAGAAAAUGGAAAAAGCUUGUAAACAUAUAAACAGAAAUAGAUUAAAUGCAUUGAUUUGUAAAGAUCUAGGCAGCAUUAAAGCCUUUUUAUAGAGCCUGCAUCUAUUGCUGCCAUUUUGUUGUAUAUAAUUGCCAAUGAAAAUGUUUAUUCUAAUACUGUUUAGAAACCAACAUUUGAAUCCAGAGUAUCUUAAACCAGCUUUAAUUUAUAUCAAAUGUAAAAAUAAAAGUUAUUAGCUCAGAAGUACUUCUUAAUUUAA